AGCUCCGAGGUGUUUUACACAUUAGAUUGCAAAUCUAAAGUAGCAGAUUAGCGUCUGCCGGGGCUU
rnacentral:tRNA from 1 species